ensembl:lncRNA
GUUCAGCAGUCUAAUGACUUGGGGGUAGAAGCUGUUCAGCAGUCUGAUGGCUUGGAGGUAGAAGCUGUUCAGCAGUCUAAUGACUUGGGGGUAGAAGCUGUUCAGCAGUCUAAUGACUUGGGGGUAGAAGCUGUUCAGCAGUCUGAUGGCUUGGAGGUAGAAGCUGUUCAGCAGUCUAAUGACUUGGGGGUAGAAGCUGUUCAGCAGUCUAAUGACUUGGGGGUAGAAGCUGUUCAGCAGUCUGAUGGCUUGGGGGUAGAAGCUGUUCAGCAGUCUGAUGACUUGGGGGUAGAAGCUGUUCAGCAGUCUAAUGACUUGGGGGUAGAAGAUGUUCAGCAGUCUAAUGACUUGGGGGUAGAAGAUGUUCAGCAGUCUAAUGACUUGGGGGUAGAAGCUGUUCAGCAGUCUAAUGACUUGGGGGUAGAAGCUGUUCAGCAGUCUAAUGACUUGGGGGUAGAAGCUGUUCAGCAGUCUGAUGGCUUGGAGGUAGAAGCUGUUCAGCAGUCUAAUGACUUGGGGGUAGAAGCUGUUCAGCAGUCUAAUGACUUGGGGGUAGAAGCUGUUCAGCA